GGAGGAGGAGGAGGUGGAGGAAGAGGAGGAGGAGGAAAGGACCACCCGGCACAUCCUCGUGGUAGCUGCCUCCACUCCUGUAGCCCUUGGCCCAGGGCUGAUGUCAUCUGCAGCAAAUCAUUUCGCCGGCGGCCCGGAAGCUGGAGGGACGAGGGAGAUCUGAGAGCUCCAUUGGAGGGUUGGGGUCGUCUAGUUGGGAUAAUGCUGCCCUUCCAUGAAUGAGGCGCUGGAUUCGAUGCCUGAGAUCCUCGCUCCUGGAGGAAGAAGUAAGAGACUCAGAAGGCCAAGGUCAUCUUUGACUAAGCAGCAAGUCUUCAGAGGCCAGCCUGAGCAAUAUGAGACCUUGUCUCUAGGUCAUUUAAUUAAUUAAAAGAUUGGCCAGAGUU